rnacentral:tRNA from 1 species
CCUUUAGCUCAGUUGGUUAGAGCAGACGGCUCAUAACCGUUCGGUCGCAGGUUCGAGUCCUGCCUGUGGA